rnacentral:rRNA from 1 species
GCUGAAAGCAUCUAAGCGGGAAGCGCGCCUCAAGAUGAGAUCUCCCGGGGCACAAGCCCCCUGAAGGAACCAUGUAGACUACGUGGUUGAUAGGUCAGGUGUGUAAGUACAGCAAUGUAUUGAGCUAACUGAUACUAAUGAUCCGUGCGGCUUGACCAU